UACGGAGGGUGCGAGCGUUGUCCGGAAUCACUGGGCGUAAAGGGCGCGUAGGCGGCCGUGUAAGUCACCUGUGAAAUCCCGGGGCUCAACUCCGGGGCUGCAGGUGAGACUGCGUGGCUAGAGCACGGUAGAGGCGAGUGGAAUUCCCGGUGUAGCGGUGGAAUGCGUAGAUAUCGGGAAGAACACCGAUGGCGAAGGCAGGUCUCUGGGCCACUACUGACGCUGAGAAGCGAAAGCAUGGGGAGCGAACAGG
rnacentral:rRNA from 1 species